UACAGAGGGGGCUAGCGUUGUUCGGAAUUACUGGGCGUAAAGGGCGCGUAGGUGGCCUGUUAAGUCGAACGUGAAAUCCCCGGGCUCAACCCGGGAACUGCGUCCGAGACUGGCAGGCUCGAAUCCGGGAGGAGGAUGUGGAAUUCCAGGUGUAGCGGUGAAAUGCGUAGAUAUCUGGAGGAAUACCGGUGGCGAAGGCGGCAUCCUGGACCAUUACUGACGCUGAGGCACGAAAGCGUGGGGAGCAAACAGG
rnacentral:rRNA from 1 species